rnacentral:lncRNA from 1 species
ACCAUGUCCUUCUCUACAGGUUGACUGGAAUAAAACACCCAACCGCAACGUGAGCCGGAUGGGCUACCGCACCGGAGAGCCCCGCCGCCAGUGAGUUUCGAUUUUUUGUAUUUUUUCAACCAACCGAGGCCCUUUAACGUAUUUUCUCACAGGGAUCGAUGCAAAAUCAACUGAAUUUGACUAACUCGAGGUAGACCGUCCCUCGGGCGGCGGUGUCGUCGCCAGAGCUCAGCGAAGCCGCCAUGCUGGAAUUUCAAAAUUAGUCAAGUGGGCCCCGUGAUUAUUUUGAGUUUGUUUGAGACAUUUGUAGGUACUAUUAGUGCGUUUUAAUUUCUAAAGAAAUUUGAAAAUCGCUCGUAGGCACAGUCGAACAGUUUAACUUUUCGGGUAUCAAAUCGGAUAAGGAUCCCUCACCCUAUUCCCUAUCAUAGAACUGAAGUCAAAAUAAAUAAUAAUACGAUAUUUUGUGUGAAUUUAAAAAAUGUGCAUAAUUAAUUACGGAUUGUUAAUGGAGCUAGAACCAAAAAUUAUCUAUUGUUGAUUGUUUUACAGUUUAUAUGCAUGAUGGUAUCUCAUUAAUUUGUUUUAUGUCUUUUAAUGCAUGUAUAGUUUAUUCUAUGUGUUUCUGUCGAAUCGGGAAAAAGGAAGGUUAAACGGUAAAAAUUUUGUGAUGAAAUGAAUGGAUGAAAAUGCAGCCUUACUGGAUAUUCCGGGAGAUGGUGGACGAAUCGGGGACAUAGGAAACCUUACUAUGAACGUUGUCUCAUACCGGACGGAAUAUGGAGACAUGAUAAUUUGGUACUCAUACUAGACAG